CAUGUUUAUUUUAGGAGAUUUGCAUUGCGCAUGUGCUCUCUGCAUUUAUAAGGUCUUGAAAGAAUAUUUGUCGACCUGAAAAUUUUAAGUCGAGUCGAACACAGACGGAGUGAAAUAAAAUGAGACGUGUGUCCGUGAACUUUAUAAUGUAAUUUUUUUACUUUGUGACAUUUUUACGCACAUCGUAUUGCUAAAAAAGCGAUUAGGAUUUUCGUUUUCAGUUGCAAUACGACCUACGUAAUCCCGUAAUUUAAAGGAUACCCAGCGGUAAUCAGCCAUCCGAGUUGCUGAACAGAUGCCUCUGUACCCAAACUCCGAGACGCAACCGAAUGUCUUCUGCUUUUAAGAUUCCCACAUCGAGGUGAUGUGCAGUUCAUCUUAGACUUGCUGUCUCUAGUGGUGGAAGAGUCUGGCCAUGUUAUGGGGCAGCAGUUAAAGAAGAAGAAAGGACAGAUGUGUGCCAUGUUGAAGUAGUGGGUGGCCCUUUUGCCCGGCACACCCAGAAUUGUCCAUCUAAAUCUGUGGUCUGGAUCUACUGUAUCUUUGCCAAAUGAUCAAGAGUUUAUUGCAGUGGUGCCCUGCGUCACUGCCAUCUGUUAAGUUAACUCCAAAUGCCUGUGGUGUUGGAGAGAAGAAAAGUUCACAAGAUACCCUGAAAUGGAAUUCUGGUUAGACUGACAUGGCCACCUUUACACUGCUUGUCAAUUUUUAGAACACCUGAGUUUUUUUCCUGUUUUUCUUCAAAUUUAUUCAGUUGAAAUGCAAUGAAUGACCUAAAAUGGCGAAAAGGUAAACAGUAAACCGCUAGAAUUUUAAAUUUAAAAUUCAUAUUAGCAAAAACUGAAAAAAAAGGAAAUUUUAGAAUAUUACAAAUGGGCCUUCUUCGGGGAACAACUAAUAGGUUACAACGUACAAAGGUUUUGUAGCAAUUAAAGUAAAUUAAGUCUUGCAAAUUGAAGCAAACAAUUUGCAGAGGUGUCUCAACUUCUGUUGAUUACUUAAAGCAGAGUUGGGACACACUGUGUUACUACACCCUCUGAAGUACUACUUGGACAACAUUACACCGUAGAAAAUUGUAAAUUCCAGUGAUAAUGGCAAGAAAACGGCAAUUAACGAAUGAAACGAGACAGAACAUUAUUACCCUUAGAAGUGUAGGCCUUUCAUUUAGAGAAAUUGCAAAAAAAUUCAAAGUGUCAGUGAGUACGGUAUCCUACACAAUCCAAAGGCAAUUGGAAACUGGAGGAAGCUCUGAUAGGAACAGAUCUGGCAGACCCAAAGUCACCACCCAGUCAGAAGACAAGUUUCUGAGGGUCACCAGCUUGCACGAUAGGCACCUCACAGCACAACAGCUUCAAGCACAGCUUAACAGCGGUCGAAAAAAGCAAGUCUCGGUUUCUACUGUGAAGAGGAGACUUCGCACCGCAGGUAUGACAGGGCGAGUGGCAGCAAGAAAGUCAUUCCUUAAAGGACAACAUAAAAAAGCGAGGCGAUCAAAAAUGUUACCACAGCAUUUUGCAGCACCACGCAGUUCCUUCAAGUUGGAGUCUGUUACAUCAGGAGUUCAUCCUCCAGCAAGAGAAUGACCCAAAACAUCCAUACCUCCAGGCCAUGUCAGAACUACGUUGAAAGAAAAGAACAAGAAGGUCCACUUCAAAACAUGGACUGGCCAGCACAGUCUCCACAGUUAAACCCCACUGAGUUAUGAACUGGACAGAAGGGCGAAAGGAAAGUAACCUGCGAGUGCAACACAUUUGUGAGAACUUCUGCAAAAUUUUCUGACCAAUAUUUGAAUUCCCUUAUAGAAGAAUUCCAUGUGUGUGUUUGGCUGUUAUAUCAGCAAAAGGUGGCUAUGUGACAAAUCAAAAAUUUGAAUAAAAUCUUUGUACACUUAAUGAUUGCUUGACUUAAUUUUUUUCAUUCGCCAUUGUUUGUUCUGUGGCUUGAUCUCAUGAAACAUUAAGACAUUAAACUGCAUGCAGUUCCAUAAAAACUGGAAAAACUGAGGUGUUCUAAAACUUUAUGGCUGAUAGUGUAUGCGUAUAUUUGUUGGGAUGUGCAGAAGGGGCUGAGCGAGCUUUGGCCUGGAGACCCCCAGAGGUUUAUUAUCUCCAGCAUCCUCAACAGCUGCAUGUUUGUCAUUCUCCCUGGCCAUUUGACCUUGCAUUGUAUUUAUUGAAAAGGACAAGGCCAUCUCCA